AGCAGCCGCGGUAAUUCCAGCUCCAAUAGCGUAUAUUAAAGUUGUUGCAGUUAAAAAGCUCGUAGUUGAAUUUCGAGAUCAAUUUGUGGGUCGUGCCUCGGUACGUACUGGCAUUAUCGAUUUCUCCCUUCUGAAGAACCGCGAUGUCAUUAAUUUGGUGUCGUGGGGAAUCAGGACUGUUACUUUGAAAAAAGUUAGAGUGUUUAAAGCAGGCUUACGCUUGAAUACAUUAGCAUGGAAUAAUGAAAUAGGACGUUUGAUUCUAUUUUGUUGGUUUCUAGGAUCGACGUAAUGAUUAAUAGGGAUAGUUGGGGGCAUUAGUAUUCAAUUGUCAGAGGUGAAAUUCUUGGAUUUAUUGAAGACUAACUACUGCGAAAGCAUUUUGCCAAGGAUGUUUUCGUUAAUCAAGAACGAAAGUUAGGGGAUCGAAGACGAUCAGAUACCGUCGUAGCCUUAACCAUAAACUAUGCCGACUAGGGAUCGGAUGAUGUUAAUUUUUCAAUGACUCAUUCGGCGCCUU
rnacentral:rRNA from 1 species